UUCAGAGGUCUCAAGCGUUGUUCGGAUUCAUUGGGCGUAAAGGGUGCGUAGGUGGCGCGCUAAGUCAGGUGUGAAAUUUCGGAGCUUAACUCCGAAACUGCAUUUGAUACUGGCGUGCUUGAGGACUGGAGAGGAGACUGGAAUUCACGGUGUAGCAGUGAAAUGCGUAGAGAUCGUGAGGAAGACCAGUGGCGAAGGCGGGUCUCUGGACAGUUCCUGACACUGAGGCACGAAGGCCAGGGGAGCAAACGGG
rnacentral:rRNA from 1 species